rnacentral:tRNA from 1 species
GGGGACGUAGCUCAGCUGGUUAGAGCGCUUGCUUGACAUGCAAGAGGUCAUAAGUUCAAGUCUUACCGCCCCCACCA